GACGAACGCUGGCGGCGUGCUUAACACAUGCAAGUCGAGCGGUAAGGCCCUUUCGGGGGUACACGAGCGGCGAACGGGUGAGUAACACGUGGGUGACCUGCCCUUAGCUCUGGGAUAAGCCUGGGAAACUGGGUCUAAUACCGGAUAUGACUCCAUGACGCACGUUGUGGGGUGGAAAGCCUUGUGCGGCUAGGGAUGGGCCCGCGGCCUAUCAGCUUGUUGGUGGGGUGAUGGCCUACCAAGGCGACGACGGGUAGCCGGCCUGAGAGGGCGACCGGCCACACUGGGACUGAGACACGGCCCAGACUCCUACGGGAGGCAGCAGUGGGGAAUCUUGCGCAAUGGGCGAAAGCCUGACGCAGCGACGCCGCGUGAGGGAUGACGGCCUCGGUU
rnacentral:rRNA from 1 species